GGGCUAAGGAAUCACAUCACUGCUGAGACCAUCACUUUCAAUUGCUUCAACCGUCCAGCAUUUAGGGUGCUGGAACAUUUUUAUACUGGGGGUGCAG